CACGUAGGGCGCGAGCGUUGUCCGGAAUUAUUGGGCGUAAAGAGCUCGUAGGCGGCCUGUUGCGUCCGCUGUGAAAGCCCGGGGCUUAACCCCGGGUCGGCAGUGGAUACGGGCAGGCUAGAGGUUGGUAGGGGAGAAUGGAAUUCCCGGUGUAGCGGUGAAAUGCGCAGAUAUCGGGAGGAACACCGGUGGCGAAGGCGGUUCUCUGGGCCUUACCUGACGCUGAGGAGCGAAAGCGUGGGGAGCGAACAGG
rnacentral:rRNA from 1 species